GGCAGACGCAAGGGACUUAAAAUCCCUCGGUGGAAACAUCGUACCGGUUCGAUCCCGGUCGGCGGCA
rnacentral:tRNA from 1 species